rnacentral:snRNA from 1 species
GGAUGUGAGGGCGAUCUGGCUGCGACAUAUGUCACCCCAUUGAUCGCCAGUGUUGAUUUGGCUGAUCUGGCUGACUAGGGGGUGUCCCAUUCCUCCCUCACGGCUCCAUGUGCAUCCCUCCCAAAGCUGCACGCUCGUUGAAGAGGAUGACCUUCCCGAUAGAAGGAGGACCAUCCUUCGGUCAAGGGUAUAUGAGUAGCUGCGCUCCCCUGCUAGAACCUCCACACAAGUCUCAAGAAUAUCAUUCAUGAAGAAAACGAAAGGUCACUAAAGACAGGAAAGAAGAAAAGAUCAAAGUGGAUGUCAGAAGAGUGUCUGAAAUUUGCUCAU